AGAGUUUGAUCAUGGCUCAGGAUGAACGCUAGCGGCAGGCUUGAUACAUGCAAGUCGAACGGUAAGUUGAAUAGCAAUAUUUGACCUAGAGUGACGUACGGGUGCGUAACACGUAUGCAACCUACCCAAAACUGGAGGAUAGCUCGGGGAAACUCGAAUUAACCCUCCAUAAGAUCAUAGAGUAGCAUUACUUAGUGAUUAAAACUCCGGUGGUUUUGGAUGGGCAUGCGUCUGAUUAGUUAGUUGGCGGGGUAACGGCCCACCAAGACGAUGAUCAGUAGGGGAACUGAGAGGUUGAUCCCCCACACUGGCACUGAGAUACGGGCCAGACUCCUACGGGAGGCAGCAGUAGGGAAUAUUGGUCAAUGGAUGCAAGUCUGAACCAGCCAUGCCGCGUGCAGGAAGAAGGCGUUAUGCGUUGUAAACUGCUUUUGCCAGGGGAUAAAAUUUCCUUGCGAGGAACAUUGAAGGUACCUGGUGAAUAAGCCACGGCUAACUACGUGCCAGCAGCCGCGGUAAUACGUAGGUGGCAAGCGCUGUCCGGAUUUAUUGGGUUUAAAGGGUGCGUAGGCGGCCCUGUAAGUCAGUGGUGAAAUACUCCAGCUUAACUGGAGGGGUGCCAUUGAUACUGCAGGGCUUGAGUGGAGUCGAAGUAGGCGGAAUUGACGGUGUAGCGGUGAAAUGCUUAGAUAUCGUCAAGAACACCGAUAGUGAAGACAGUUUACUAGGCUUCUACUGACGCUGAGGCACGAAAGUGUGGGGAUCAAACAGGAUUAGAUACCCUGGUAGUCCACACUGUAAACGUUGAUUACUCGCUGUUGGCGAUACACAGCCAGCGGCCAAGCGCAAGCGAUAAGUAAUCCACCUGGGGAGUACGCCGGCAACGGUGAAACUUAAAUGAAUUGACGG
rnacentral:rRNA from 1 species